rnacentral:rRNA from 1 species
AGAGUUUGAUCCUGGCUCAGAACGAACGCUGGCGGUAUGCUUAACACAUGCAAGUCGUACGAGAAAGAGGGUUUCGGCUCUUGAGUAAAGUGGCGAACGGGUGAGUAACGCGUGAGCAAAUUACCCUAGAGAGGGGGAUAACACUUCGAAAGGAGUGCUAAUACCCCAUGACAUUAUUUUUACGCAUGUAAGGAUAAUCAAAGGUGGGCUGCUUCAUUUGAAAGCUCAUGCUCUGGGAUGUGCUCGCGUACCAUUAGCUAGUUGGUGGGGUAAAGGCCUACCAAGGCGGUGAUGGUUAGCCGGCCUGAGAGGGUGAUCGGCCACACUGGGACUGAGAUACGGCCCAGACUCCUACGGGAGGCAGCAGUGGGGAAUAUUGCGCAAUGGGGGAAACCCUGACGCAGCAAUACCGCGUGAAUGAUGAAGGCCCUUGGGUUGUAAAGUUCUGUUAGGUGGGAAGAAGUGCUAUUACGCGAACAGUGUAAUAGUUUGACGGUACCACCAGAGGAAGCCCCGGCUAACUCCGUGCCAGCAGCCGCGGUAAUACGGAGGGGGCUAGCGUUGUUCGGAAUUACUGGGCGUAAAGGGCGCGUAGGCGGCGUUGUAAGUUAGAUGCGAAAGACCAUGGCUUAACCAUGGGAUUGUAUCUAAAACUGUAAUGCUUGAGUAUAGGAGAGGAGAGUGGAAUUCCCAGUGUAGCGGUGAAAUGCGUAGAUAUUGGGAGGAACACCGGUGGCGAAGGCGGCUCUCUGGACUAAUACUGACGCUGAGGCGCGAAAGCUAGGGGAGCGAACGGGAUUAGAUACCCCGGUAGUCCUAGCUGUAAACGAUGGACACUAGGUGUGGGAGGUAUCGAAUCCUUCUGUGCCGGAGCUAACGCAUUAAGUGUCCCGCCUGGGGAGUACGUUCGCAAGAAUGAAACUCAAAGGAAUUGACGGGGGCCCGCACAAGCGGUGGAGCAUGUGGUUUAAUUCGAAGCAACGCGAAGAACCUUACCGGGGUUUGACAUAUACAUGACGUCAGCAGAGAUGUUGAUUUUUCUUCGGAGACAUGUAUACAGGUGCUGCAUGGCUGUCGUCAGCUCGUGUCGUGAGAUGUUGGGUUAAGUCCCGCAACGAGCGCAACCCUCACCCUUAGUUGCCAUCAGGUCAAGCUGGGAACUCUAAGAGAACUGCCGGUGAUAAACCGGAGGAGGGUGGGGAUGACGUCAAGUCCUCAUGGCCCUUAUGUCCCGGGCUACACACGGGCUACAAUGGCUGGUACAAAGGGUAAUAGCGAGACCGCGAGGUGGAGCAAAUCCCAGAAAGCUAGUCACAGUUCGGAUUGAAGUCUGUAACUCGACUUCAUGAAGUUGGAAUCGCUAGUAAUCGUGGAUCAGCAUGCCACGGUGAAUACGUUCCCGGGCCUUGUACACACCGCCCGUCACACCACGAAAGUUGGCUGUACCAGAAGUCAUUGAGCGAACCCGCAAGGGGCGCAGGUGCCGAAGGUAUGGUUGGUAAUUGGGGUGAAGUCGUAACAAGGUA